rnacentral:rRNA from 1 species
CGACUUACAUUCAGUAGCAAGGUUAACCGUUUAGGGGAGCCGUAGAGAAAUCGAGUCUUAAUAGGGCGUUAAGUUGCUGGGUGUAGACCCGAAACCCGGUGAUCUAUCCAUGGGCAGGUUGAAGGUUAGGUAACACUGACUGGAGGACCGAACUCACUAACUUUGAAAAGUUAGGAGAUGACCUGUGGAUAGGAGUGAAAGGCUAAUCAAACCGGGAGAUAGCUGGUUCUCCUCGAAAGCUAUUUA